rnacentral:rRNA from 1 species
GGGGCCUUUACCACACGAGACUGUAGUCGAAUAGCUAGCCAGUAGCUUGUCUUCGGAAGUUAGUGGCUGAGCCUCUUGACACGUCUGAUGGCGGGCGGUAGAAUGGGACUCUCUGGUCUUGGGACGUCAUGCGGGAUGACGUUUGAUUCUCGUAGAUAUCCGCCUUCAUGGUGCAUCGUCCGAGACUUCACUCCCUCGUAUGCGACUGGUAGCCUGUCUCAAGCGCUCUCUGCUCUAUUCCACUGGGGGUGUUAGGUUACCGGAGCUCUAUUCUGAGCCAGUGGAAACUCUGAACCUUAAUUUGAACCGCUUUUAAAAUUUUUCGGCAUGAUCUAAGUUUGAGGAACACCCCGCGUGGGUAAGGAGUUUUUCUGAACCGAAAGCUCCUUUUGGUAGGGAAGAAAAAGUCCCGUCCAAUCGGGGGGCCCCCUGCCGGGGCCCAAACCGAAAGCCCGGGCUAAUUACAUGCCACCGGCCCCGGUAAAGCUUUGGGGGAAGGCUUUGACCCGAAAUUAAUGGGCCGAACGGGGUUCGCGGGCCGUUUUUAAAGUUUAAGGUUAAAGCCCCCGCCUCCACCCGGGAGGGGCAUGGGAAACUGGGGAACUUGGGUCCCGAAAAGGAGAGUGAAAUUCCACGUUUGGGGUUAAAUGCGUAGAGAUGUGGAGGAACACCAUUGCAAGGCGACCCUUUGGUCUGUUACUCACCCUGAGGAGCGAACCUGGGGAGCGACCGGAUUAGAUACCCGGCAGUCCACCCCGUACACAUUGAGUGCCACUGUAGAGUGUCUCCGCCCUUAGUGCUGCAGCUACGCAUUAGCAUCCGCCUGCGGAGUACGGUCGCAGAUGAACUCAAUUAUGACGGCGCCCGACCCAUCGUGCAGCAUGUUGUUGAAUCGAUGCACGCGAGACUAACAGGUCUGGAUCUCUUGACAUCUGAUAGUAGUCCCUCAGUCGACGUCAUGAUGCAGUUUCUCCGCCGUCGGAGAUGUUGGUUAAUCCUCGCACAACGC